rnacentral:rRNA from 1 species
GUCUACAACCGUGCCACCCUGAAUAAGAGGGAUCCCGUCUGAUCUCGGAAGCUAAGCAGUGUCGGGCCUGGUUAGUACUUGGAUGGGAGACCACCUAGAAAGAUCAGUUGCUGUAGGCG